rnacentral:lncRNA from 1 species
AAGCGUGUGCGCACGCGCUCCCAGCUGGUUCACUCCUGGCGCUCCCAGGGCAGGAAAAUCGAAGACCCAAACUGGCGCCUGCGCACUUGGUCUCCGCCGCUGCUGUGGUCUUGCGCCCCGCCCCCGUCCCCCCACCUCCCCCCAGGCUCGCGCUCAGCGGCGGCGGUGUUGGUGCCGCCGGGAGCGGACGGACCCGAGGUGAAGGUGGGGGGCUGGGGUCCACCGCCCGCGGCCGAGUCCCCGCGCCUCUCCUACCCUCCCCGCGCCCCCCGUGUGGCCCCCACUGCUAACAGUCGCGCGGCCAAACGCGGCCCACGGGCAGGGCGCGGAAGGGGAGUAGACGCGAGGCUGGGGACGAGCGGGGGGGGGGGGGGGCGGCGAGGGAGGGGCGCGCCCACCACCCCUCCUGGCCUACAGCGACCCCGCCUACAUCGCGGGACGGGGACCCUCGCAUGGGCUGCUGCAGGGGCCCGGGUUGGGCUUGGGCCCUGAGGUCACAGAGCAGAUGGUCCCAAAUGGAGCACAGGAUGUGUGGAGUAGCCUCUGUCUGCCUCCAACCCAGGACCCGGCCCCCUGAGUUCUGAGUCCACCAGCUCUUAACGCCUCUGUGAUCAGAAUCAGACCUCUUCACCUGUCCAAGCCCCAGCUUCCUCAUCGGCAAGCUGGCUAUGAAGAGGUGGGUCUGCGUCAUUCUCCCAGGUUUGUAGCGACCAGGAUGGGUGAAAACGUGUGUUUUGUCAGUUUGCUGGGAUGAUUUCUUCCGGAGGUGCAGAAGGUGGUCGGGUCUUGAGACCCGGUUUUUCCUGGGAAAAGUUGACCUCCUCUGUCCCCAGCUUGGGAAACUGUUACCCCAGUGAGGGUGGCGGUUGUCCCAAGACCUUAUCCCACCCCAGCCUUGCCCUGGGAGGAAAGGGUAGGGGCCUCAGGAAUGUGGUGCUCGCUGCCAAGAGACACGCCAGAUUUACAUACACCUGAGGCCUCCUGUGUGCUUAACAACGCCCCAGAACUCCGUCCCCCAGCUCCAAGGUCAUAAAUACCCUUGGGUGGGCAGGGUCUGACGUGGGAACCUGGGUAGCACCAGGGGCAGCCCCACUCCCACUACCCUUAGCCCUUCGUUCUUGGUUCUCUGCUAGGUGACUGGGGAGAGCAGGGCUGUCUGGGCUCUCUUCUUGGCCACGCUGAACGCCUUGAAGGGCCCUAGCCCUGACACUGCCCCUAAGGGUGUCCUGAGCCCUGGUGACAGGCAGGCAAGGGUUAAGAGGUAUGGGCUGGCCCAGUCCCUGGCCAGGUAGGCUGGGCUAUUGCCUAGUGGGAGGCGGCCUAGGCAUCUGCCACUGGCUCACUGCUCACUGCCACUACCAGCUGGAACAGGGCCUGGUUGAGACAACUAUUUUAUCGAGGUACUUGAGGCCACCCCACAGCACCUCUCUGGCGUUGGUGAGCACCUGGGAACAGGGGACCCAGGGGCAGGGUAGGGGAAGAAGGGUCUAGGGUGUACUGAGGCCCCCUGUGGGAGAAAGCCAAGUCUGUGCAA